UGUUGUACCUUCUGCUUAAUUGGUGUUUCUUUGAAAUAUAUAGACACAUCAGUACAUCACACGUUGCUUUCUUUACUCAUAACCCCAAACUCAUACAUACACAUCUAGAGAGAGAGUGAACGGGCGUCGCAUCAGAGAGAGAGAGAGAGAGAGAGAGAGAGAGAGAGAAAGAAAGACCGAUGAAAGGGAGAGGAAGCCGACCACCUCAACUCGAUGAAGGGGAUGAUGGCGACAGCUUAUGUAUUCCAACAACCAGAUUGGCAGCGAUGGCGGCUAGGGUUCCAGUUUAGGGGUUUUGAAACCAGAUCGUGAAGGUGUUGCGGACAACCAAUAGUCGGAGAAAACUAUUUAAACAGGUAGCUGUAUCUAUGGCUUAAUUUGUUUUUUGUGCAUAUUUAAGGUGUACAUUUGGUUAUGUUAGUUGUACACUAAAGCAUCUUUUGCAAGAUCUAUGUUCCAUAUAGGUUUUAGAGAGAUAAAUAGACGGUGGAACGACCAUCGUUUACGGUGCUGUACCAGACGGGCGAAUGGCGAUGAUCUUCUUUGGGUAAUGGCUACUUUAGGGUUUGAAGGUUAUAGUGAGCCAUUUGAGUCAUACUUGACAAGAUACAGAGAGGUAAUAAAUUAAGUUUUUUAAAUAAAAAAAGCAUAUCAUUGAUUAAUUACUCUUUGUACAAGUAGUUACUGAUGGAUUCAUGUUUGUAUGCUGUCAUGCUUGUGAUCGAAUUGCUCAUGCAAAUGGAGGUUAGUGAGCGUCUAUCGUAUAUCUUUAACUAUAGUAAUUAACCGAUGUCUGUUUUGAAUAUAAUUAAUGAUGCACAACCUAUCGGCCGUAAUUUUUCGUGUAUGCGAGUAUUUUAACGAGUGAUGAUGGUAGUUUUUGUGGUUAUGGUGGAUUUCUUUCCCUGCUUUUGAACAGGUUAGCACUUUCAAAAUGGACUAUAUAUAUAAAAGCCUUAAAAGGUUUAACGAUCAGAGUGGGUCAGAUCAGGUUGCCAGCAUUCGUUUGUUUUUUAGGAAUGGCUGCUAGCAUUAUAUAUGGUUUAAUAAAAACUAACUACUUAGAUAAUAAUCUGUCGUCUAACUUUGGUAGAUCAUGACGCUCCGAAGUCGAAGUAUGACUCUAAAACUUCAUGGUAAAAAUGGGCGUGAUGUUGGAAAUAUAGGUUCAAUAACUGCAUGUAGAGGAAACCGUUGCUUCUAAAACGGCUAUGGCUAUUAUGAUGGGAUUCCGAUGUUUAAACUUUGAUAACAAGAUAUGCUUGCGAAACUGAAGGACUUGGAGCACUUUUAGAAGGCUAUGUGCCUCAUUGGAGAUAGAGAAAAUGUACAAGAUCAAGAAUGGUAACCGGUAUACAAACCAUCAGUUCAGUUCGGGCUAAAAGCGUGCCAAGUAGUGCGUUAUAUGGUGGGAUAUGGCGACUUGCAUAAGAGGAAUCCGAACACACUUUGGCGGCCUCCCUUAGCGGCGAUGGCUGGUGGUUUCUAUCCGGAUGGUGAUGAUGACGAACGGUGGUGGUGGUUCGAGCAAGUGGUGGUUGGAAAAAAUCAGAGGUCGGAGUGGCUGUGGUUGCAGGUGGAGUUUGCGGCGGUGGUGUUUCAGCGUGGAGGGUGCGAACGGUGGUGGUCAAAUCAGAUGUGGGGGUUGUUGCUCUAAUAAUAUCUUAGAUCCAUUAAUCUUAUGUUGUUUUGUUAAUUCCAUCCAACCUCUAUAGGUGUGGGGUGGUGUUCUUUUAGGUUUAUCGGCUAGGCUGACGUUUUGAAUCCUAUGUUGUUUUGUUAAUUUCAUUCAACUUCUUCUUGUGCUAAUCAUGUUGUUUUUUAAUCGUAUGUUAUUUUGUUAAUUCCAUUCAA